rnacentral:rRNA from 1 species
AUGAACGCUAGCUACAGGCUUAACACAUGCAAGUCGAGGGGCAGCAUUUUAGUUUGCUUGCAAACUGAAGAUGGCGACCGGCGCACGGGUGAGUAACACGUAUCCAACCUGCCGAUAACUCCGGGAUAGCCUUUCGAAAGAAAGAUUAAUACCGGAUAGCAUACGAAUAUCGCAUGAUAUUUUUAUUAAAGAAUUUCGGUUAUCGAUGGGGAUGCGUUCCAUUAGUUUGUUGGCGGGGUAACGGCCCACCAAGACUACGAUGGAUAGGGGUUCUGAGAGGAAGGUCCCCCACAUUGGAACUGAGACACGGUCCAAACUCCUACGGGAGGCAGCAGUGAGGAAUAUUGGUCAAUGGGCGCGAGCCUGAACCAGCCAAGUAGCGUGAAGGAUGAAGGCUCUAUGGGUCGUAAACUUCUUUUAUAUGGGAAUAAAGUUUUCCACGUGUGGAAUUUUGUAUGUACCAUAUGAAUAAGGAUCGGCUAACUCCGUGCCAGCAGCCGCGGUAAUACGGAGGAUCCGAGCGUUAUCCGGAUUUAUUGGGUUUAAAGGGAGCGUAGGUGGAUUGUUAAGUCAGUUGUGAAAGUUUGCGGCUCAACCGUAAAAUUGCAGUUGAAACUGGCAGUCUUGAGUACAGUAGAGGUGGGCGGAAUUCGUGGUGUAGCGGUGAAAUGCUUAGAUAUCACGAAGAACUCCGAUUGCGAAGGCAGCUCACUAGACUGUCACUGACACUGAUGCUCGAAAGUGUGGGUAUCAAACAGGAUUAGAUACCCUGGUAGUCCACACAGUAAACGAUGAAUACUCGCUGUUUGCGAUAUACAGUAAGCGGCCAAGCGAAAGCAUUAAGUAUUCCACCUGGGGAGUACGCCGGCAACGGUGAAACUCAAAGGAAUUGACGGGGGCCCGCACAAGCGGAGGAACAUGUGGUUUAAUUCGAUGAUACGCGAGGAACCUUACCCGGGCUUAAAUUGCAACAGAAUAUAUUGGAAACAGUAUAGCCGUAAGGCUGUUGUGAAGGUGCUGCAUGGUUGUCGUCAGCUCGUGUCGUGAGAUGUUGGGUUAAGUCCCGCAACGAGCGCAACCCUUACGGUUAGUUGAUACGCAAGAUCACUCUAGCCGGACUGCCGUUGACAAAACGGAGGAAGGUGGGGAUGACGUCAAAUCAGCACGGCCCUUACGUCCGGGGCUACACACGUGUUACAAUGGGGGGUACAGAAGGCGGCUACCUGGUGACAGGAUGCUAAUCCCAAAAACCUCUCUCAGUUCGGAUCGAAGUCUGCAACCCGACUUCGUGAAGCUGGAUUCGCUAGUAAUCGCGCAUCAGCCACGGCGCGGUGAAUACGUUCCCGGGCCUUGUACACACCGCCCGUCACACCAUGAGAGUUGGAAAUACCCGAAGCCUGUGAGCUAACCUAAGAGGCAGCAGUCGAAGGUAGAGCCAAUGAUUGGGGUG